AUUGAACGCUGGCAGCAGGCUUAACACAUGCAAGUCGAGCGGGGUGAGGUGCUUCGGUACUGAUCCUAGCGGCGGACGGGUGAGUAAUGCUUAGGAAUCUGCCAUUUAGUGGGGGACAACAUUCCGAAAGGAAUGCUAAUACCGCAUACGUCCUACGGGAGAAAGCAGGGGAUCUUCGGACCUUGCGCUAAAUGAUGAGCCUAAGUCGGAUUAGCUAGUUGGUGGGGUAAAGGCCUACCAAGGCGACGAUCUGUAGCGGGUCUGAGAGGAUGCUCCACCACACUGGGACUGAGACACGGCCCAGACUCCUACUGUAGGCAGCAGUGGGGAAUAUUGGACAAUGGGCGGAAGCCUGAUCCAGCCAUGCCGCGUGUGUGAAGAAGGCCUUUUGGUUGAAAAGCACUUUAAGCGAGGAGGAGGCUACCUGGAUUAAUACUCUGGGAUAGUGGACGUUACUCGCAGAAUAAGCACCGGCUAACUCUGUGCCAGCCGCCGCCGUAACAC
rnacentral:rRNA from 1 species